rnacentral:rRNA from 1 species
CCUACGGGGGGCUGCAGUGGGGAAUAUUGGACAAUGGGGGGAACCCUGAUCCAGCCAUGCCGCGUGUGUGAAGAAGGCCCUCGGGUUGUAAAGCACUUUCAGUGGGGAAGAACGCCUGGUGGUUAAUACCCAUCAGGAAAGACAUCACUCACAGAAGAAGCACCGGCUAACUCCGUGCCAGCAGCCGCGGUAAUACGGAGGGUGCGAGCGUUAAUCGGAAUUACUGGGCGUAAAGCGCGCGUAGGUGGCUUGAUAAGCCGGUUGUGAAAGCCCCGGGCUCAACCUGGGAACGGCAUCCGGAACUGUCAAGCUAGAGUGCAGGAGAGGAAGGUAGAAUUCCCGGUGUAGCGGUGAAAUGCGUAGAGAUCGGGAGGAAUACCAGUGGCGAAGGCGGCCUUCUGGACUGACACUGACACUGAGGUGCGAAAGCGUGGGUAGCAAACAGGAUUAGAUACCCCGGUAGUC